rnacentral:rRNA from 1 species
UACAGAGGGGGCUAGCGUUAUUCGGAAUUAUUGGGCGUAAAGGGCGCGUAGGCGGCCAUGCGUGUCUUCCGUGAAAUCCCUCGGCUUAACUGAGGACGUGCGGAAGAAACUGCAAGGCUCGAGUCCGGGAGAGGGGGGUGGAAUUCCCAGUGUAGCGGUGAAAUGCGUAGAUAUUGGGAGGAACACCCGUAGCGAAGGCGGCACUCUGGGCCGGUACUGACGCUGAGGAGCGAAAGCGUGGGGAGCGAACAGG